rnacentral:lncRNA from 1 species
CCUCCGCCCGCCGCCCCCGGGGCUCCGCCCGCUGAGGUCCACUCCCCUCACCCUCCUUUCUCCUGCCUGCCCUCCCUCGGCGGGCCGAGCACUUUCAGCCUCAGACCUCAAGCCGAAGUCCGAGGAGUGCGUGUCUGCUGCGCUGCUUCCAGCCGAAAUCCCCCGGUCCGGCCCAGACCCAGGGUCCGCACUCGGGGCGGUGGGGAAGCCUUAAGAGCAGGCUUUUCUCUAUGCAGCAAAAUCGUCCCCAGACCAGAUGGGCGGCCCAGCUCUCCCGGGACCAGGCAGAUUUCUUCCUCAGAAGCAGAAAUGAUUGACGAAGGGUUCCACAACAGAUCAUGGGACGGCGGGGUCCUUAAACCCUGACAUUCUCUACCAGUGCCUUAGGAAGGAGUCAAGGUGAAGCGCUUCGGAUAAUUGCCUUCAGUAAAAUAACACGAUUGCAAAAUUAUAUCUCUGCCUGCGGGGCAAUUAACUUCGAUCCGUGCCAUCAUUUGAAAAGUAG